GGGCUUGGCGGUGUUUUAGACCUCUCAGGGGAACCUGUCUCGUAAUCGACAAUCCACGAUAAACCUAACCUUUAAUGGCAAUUCAGCCUGUAUACCGUCGUCGUCAGGUAACUUCUUAAAAUAUAGUAGUUAGCUUGAGAAUUAUAUUAAUUAAAACGUCAGAUCAAGGUGCAGCCAAUGAAGAGGUGCGGAUGGGUUACAAUUAUAUAUUUGUAAAUACGGAAAAACGUUUGAAAUAAAGUGUCUUAAAGGAGGACUUGAAAGUAAUUUUAUCUAUAUAAAUAGAAUGAAUAGGGCUCUGAAACGUGCACACAUCGCCCGUCGCUCUCGUUGAAAAAUGAGAUAAGUCGUAACACAGUAGGGGUAAUGGAAAUUGUUCCUAGGC
rnacentral:rRNA from 1 species